rnacentral:rRNA from 1 species
AUUGAACGCUGGCGGCAUGCCUUACACAUGCAAGUCGAACGGCAGCACGGAGCUUGCUCUGGUGGCGAGUGGCGAACGGGUGAGUAAUAUAUCGGAACGUACCCUAGAGUGGGGGAUAACGUAGCGAAAGUUACGCUAAUACCGCAUACGAUCUAAGGAUGAAAGUGGGGGAUCGCAAGACCUCAUGCUCGUGGAGCGGCCGAUAUCUGAUUAGCUAGUUGGUAGGGUAAAAGCCUACCAAGGCAUCGAUCAGUAGCUGGUCUGAGAGGACGACCAGCCACACUGGAACUGAGACACGGUCCAGACUCCUACGGGAGGCAGCAGUGGGGAAUUUUGGACAAUGGGCGAAAGCCUGAUCCAGCAAUGCCGCGUGAGUGAAGAAGGCCUUCGGGUUGUAAAGCUCUUUUGUCAGGGAAGAAACGGUGAGAGCUAAUAUCUUUUGCUAAUGACGGUACCUGAAGAAUAAGCACCGGCUAACUACGUGCCAGCAGCCGCGGUAAUACGUAGGGUGCAAGCGUUAACCGGAAUUACUGGGCGUAAAGCGUGCGCAGGCGGUUUUGUAAGUCUGAUGUGAAAUCCCCGGGCUCAACCUGGGAAUUGCAUUGGAGACUGCAAGGCUAGAAUCUGGCAGAGGGGGGUAGAAUUCCACGUGUAGCAGUGAAAUGCGUAGAUAUGUGGAGGAACACCGAUGGCGAAGGCAGCCCCCUGGGUCAAGAUUGACGCUCAUGCACGAAAGCGUGGGGAGCAAACAAGAUUAGAUACCCUGGUAGUCCACGCCCUAAACGAUGUCUACUAGUUGUCGGGUCUUAAUUGACUUGGUAACGCAGCUAACGCGUGAAGUAGACCGCCUGGGGAGUACGGUCGCAAGAUUAAAACUCAAAGGAAUUGACGGGGACCCGCACAAGCGGUGGAUGAUGUGGAUUAAUUCGAUGCAACGCGAAAAACCUUACCUACCCUUGACAUGGCUGGAAUCCUUGAGAGAUCAGGGAGUGCUCGAAAGAGAACCAGUACACAGGUGCUGCAUGGCUGUCGUCAGCUCGUGUCGUGAGAUGUUGGGUUAAGUCCCGCAACGAGCGCAACCCUUGUCAUUAGUUGCUACGAAAGGGCACUCUAAUGAGACUGCCGGUGACAAACCGGAGGAAGGUGGGGAUGACGUCAAGUCCUCAUGGCCCUUAUGGGUAGGGCUUCACACGUCAUACAAUGGUACAUACAGAGCGCCGCCAACCCGCGAGGGGGAGCUAAUCGCAGAAAGUGUAUCGUAGUCCGGAUUGUAGUCUGCAACUCGACUGCAUGAAGUUGGAAUCGCUAGUAAUCGCGGAUCAGCAUGUCGCGGUGAAUACGUUCCCGGGUCU